UACGAAGGGGGCUAGCGUUGCUCGGAAUCACUGGGCGUAAAGGGUGCGUAGGCGGGUCUUUAAGUCAGGGGUGAAAUCCUGGAGCUCAACUCCAGAACUGCCUUUGAUACUGAAGAUCUUGAGUUCGGGAGAGGUGAGUGGAACUGCGAGUGUAGAGGUGAAAUUCGUAGAUAUUCGCAAGAACACCAGUGGCGAAGGCGGCUCACUGGACCGGUACUGACGCUGAGGCGCGAAAGCGUGGGGAGCAAACGGG
rnacentral:rRNA from 1 species